AUCUAGGGACGCGUCGGCGGUA
rnacentral:miRNA from 1 species